rnacentral:rRNA from 1 species
GUCUACGGCCAUACCACCCUGAACACGCCCGAUCUCAUCUGAUCUCGGAAGAAAAUGGGGAGUCAUACAGCAAACAGAUCAAAUUGAGGUUCUUUGGGUUGAAGGGU